AGUCCUUUUAUUAGUGACUGUGCCCUGGCCGGCCGGGUUCUCUCCGGCGGGCACCCAGCACAGCAAGACAAUGGACAAACCCCUGCUGAAGCCUGCCUGACCAGCUCAGACAGGCCUCGCACGGUGGCCUCUAUUUUGCUCUGUUUUAUUUCACUCUGUCACUAUCUUAAAGAGAAAGACGGCAGGAUUUCUCCCCAACAGUUUUUCCCCUCAGGGUAGGGGAUGUCAGCCAGAGGGUGCAGAAGCAGAAAGACUGAAAGGAAAAGAGGAAACACAACAAAACAUAACCCUGCUUGACAGAGCUGACGGUUCAAUCUCAAGUGUUAAUAUCUGGCCGUCACGUGUGGUCGCCAAUCAACUAAGGAAACAGACAUUGAACACAACCUUCCCCUACCCUCCAAAACUCGUGACAACAGAAUGCCGAGUUUACUAAGAAAUGCCUCUGUCUUUUAAUCAUUUUUAAAGACCUUCUGUGCAGGCAACUAAUCAGGAGGUAACACACUGGUCCAGUGAGAAAGUUUGUAUCCUGAAUGUCAGCCUGCUCUUCUCUUUUCUCCCGUUUCAAUCUGUGGAAGCAAUCUGGGAGAAACGCAGUUGCAAAGAAAAGACUUGGCCCCUUCUACAUGCCUGAAAAUGAAGAGCGGAAUUUAAUUUCCCAUAACUGAAAAGUGUGCAGGGCCAGCUCUAGGAUGCUGUCUGUACCCGAAAACAGGGACUAAGGAAUGUUUGCCUUUGUUCCCCAAAGCCAUUGGGCUGGGCCCUCACCUUUCAUGGAGAGGGCACGUGAAGGCAGAGCCCUGCAAAAACACGUGUGUGUCUUUUGUAAAAUUGCUGCCAAAACACUGAUGCCCAACGCUUAUUGGCAUGGUACGUUUAUACUACUGUUAUCAGUUUUAGAUAUCUUUUGAUUUCCUACCAUGGGAAAUAAAGGCUUAGCAUUCCCAUACACUUCUCUUACUUCCUGUUAGUGCCCCAAAUGGUCAUAGUGUAAUUUUAAUCAAAUCAAAAGUCAGCGUUUGUGUUAUUACAACUUGGCAAAUAUUGCUCAAUGCCGGGUCAGGUAAUGCACUGUGACUAUGCCUUCUUUUUCACACGAGCCUUCAUUUUUCCUGGAGUUAAUCAUGUCCUCACUUUUUUUCUUCGUGUGUCUGGUUGUACAUGAACCCAUCACAAAUUUAUUCCAUAUGCUCAACACCUCUAUUUUAUGCCCAUCAACAAAUAUCCCAUGUGCCUAACUAAAUGCAUUAGUUCUAUUUUUUUCUCCAUCAGAGACAUCACUUCUGGAGCUUUCUGAACCUUUGCUCUAAUCCUGGUCUGGCUGCUUUCCAUGCUGGGUUCUUCUCCUACUGCUAUCUAAGGCUCCUUCUUGGUUUCCCUCACAUUUUGCUGGAGUUCAUCCUCCAGUGGCUAGGAAACAAUGUCCUGGAAGUCAUUUGAAUCCAUGAGUUUAUAAACAUGUCUUUGUCAUCACCCUUAACUAACAGUUCAAAUACAGAAGUCUGGGUUGAAAUCUAUUUUUCUGUUCCGAUUUUUCAAGGACUGCUCUACUAGCUUCUAGAGAUCAGCCCUGCUAUUGCGAAAUCUCUUUUGGUUGCUAAUACUUUGUAACCUGUUGUGCUUUGUAAGAUUUUAGGAUAUUUUUCCCCAUGAAGUUUCAGCUUUUCACAAUGUGCCUUAGUGUGCGUUGUUUAUACACAAAGGGCUGUAUACACUUGAUGGCCUUGCCAUCUGAGGAUUCUUGUCCUUCAGUUCUGAAAAGUGUUCUUUUAUUUCCCCUUGAUAAUUUUCCCUUUCUCCAUUUUCUCCCUUCUUUUUGGAUCUUCUAGAAGUCAAAAUGGAGGACUGAUAUUUUCAUUUUAUUAUCCCUCCCCAUCUUCUUACUCUUUUUAUUUUACCUCCUGAAAGAUUUCCUUUACUUUAUUUUUCAGCCUUUUUAUUACCUUUUUAAAUUUCCUGCAGCCCUACUUUUAAGACCCCAAAGCUGCCGAGACGGGAGCGAGGGACCUUACUACCACAUGUAAGGACUUUAAACCAAUGCCCCAAAUUGUCAGCUCUGCAGUUCACUCUGCACCAUUCCAUGGUCAUUUAUGCUUUGGAAACCAGAGCCUUUCUCAUGUUCUGCAAGAGAAAAUGGCUCCUUGUACAUUCAGGUUGUAGUUUCCUGGGCUUUGUUAAACAAAUUAGCAUCCCUCUACCCACCUUCUAUUUUCUAAAAAAUGUGUUGAAAUCAUUCCUCUUCUACUUCUCUUCUUCCAAUCUUUUUGUUCUUAUGGAUAUCUCUAUCUAUCUAUCUAUCUAUCUAUCUAUCUAUCUAUCUAUCUAUCAUCUACAGCCAGUUUUCAUUAUCCAUGGGAGCUUUGUUCUGUAAUGCUGCUACAAGAAUUACUGAAUACUCUGAACCAAUGCUCUGGGGGAAAUACAGAGUUGGGUUCCUGGGAGAUACUGAUGACAAUAUCUCAUCACCUGAUCAGUGCAGAACCUUGUUUUAUGUGUAUUUCUGUUUAAAGACACCUUGUUUACCAUAUCUUGUUGAUUACCUUUAAACUCAUGGACAACAGUGCUAGAACUCAAGCCUGAACAAAACUUACCUAACACAUGUAUUUGUUCUGUAAGCCACAUCAUAGCCUUCUUGUGCCUAGGAACACCAGAUAGCACUUCAACAUUAGGCUUGGGGCCACUUUAAACAGCAAAAGUACCAACAAAAAGCACAAAAAUGUGAAAAAUGUGACAUUAAGCAGACUCCAAAAAGGACACUUGUUUUAUAGUAAGAGAGCUGAAACAAGAAGGCAGAGAUCACCUUAGCUGGGAACAUGAAUUUUGGCAACACAAGUUUUUUGGCACUCUAUAUGCCUGCAAAUGAUAGUGAAAGCACCAGGAGUAUUGAUUUGGGGAUUAUAAAUAAAUUUAAGCAAGUAGGAUUUGCAAAUAUAGAAUCCAUGAAUAAUGAGGAUUGACUCUAUCAUCUGUCUACCUAUCUACCUAUCAUUGAUCAUUUCUUUUGUGUCAUUUCACUGGGAUUUUUCAGAAGAAAGCAAAAUUGGUGCCUGUAUCCAACUCCUCACAUUUAACACAAUUUUAUUAUUUUAAUUUUAAUGGCCCUACUGGAAGUCUUUCUAGCUAGCUUAGAAUCUGGAAGACAUAAAGUAAAAAUAAUAAAUUUGGUGACAUAAAAACUCUUCUGCAUGGCAAAAGACAAACUAGGUAAAGUCAAAAGACAAAAGACAAGAUGGGAAAACAUUUGUAGCUCAUAUUACAGACAAAAAAGAAAGAGUCCCUUAAAUGUGACAAGAAAAAAAAAACCCAGUAAUCCAAGCU